rnacentral:rRNA from 1 species
UACGUAGGGUGCGAGCGUUACUCGGAAUUACUGGGCGUAAAGCGUGCGCAGGCGGUUUUGUAAGCCAGAUGUGAAAGCCCCGGGCUUAACCUGGGAAUGGCAUUUGGGACUGCAUGGCUAGAGUGUGUCAGAGGGGGGUAGAAUUCCACGUGUAGCAGUGAAAUGCGUAGAUAUGUGGAGGAAUACCGAUGGCGAAGGCAGCCCCCUGGGAUAACACUGACGCUCAUGCACGAAAGCGUGGGGAGCAAACAGG